GAAAAUCUCUGGAAGCAGGAUUGAUCCCAAGAAGGAUGUAAGGAGACUAAACUGACCCCUGCUGGUCAGCUUUUAUGAGAAGACUAGAGGGCUCUAAUGGAAACAGAUCCAGCCAAAACAACACACACACACACACACACACACACACACACACAAUGAAUGUGACAUGAAAGCACAGCUCACGGGGCUGCACCUACUGACCUACUCUCAGCUCUUGCCCAAAGACGGUCCUCUCGCCAAGGGCAGAGCAGUUCCACCGGCCGUAGCGAAACUGAUACUGGCACUCGUUGAUGCCCAGCUGAGCGCCUUCCCCAAUGAUGAUGAUGGCAUCUGGGCGGCUCUGGCAGAUGGCACGCUGUCGGGGGGCCAGGCCGGGGAUCUUGUUGCAGAUGAUGUUUGCGCCCAAAGCCACGACUGAAGACAAAGCCCUUUGGAGGAGACCAGACACACUGAUAUGCGGUUUUCCAAUUACAUGCAUUUGAGAUCAAAACAUGAUGUUGUAAUGAGUAAAACAUUGUCCUUAUGGUUUCACAGCAAAUGAAUGAAAGGUAAUCUCAUCAGUUUGACUGAAUGAACUGGUUUAUACUGGAAUAUGAUAUAACUGGGUGGUAUAUAG